rfam:Stegodyphus mimosarum contig50708, whole genome shotgun sequence.
GCCUUCGUGGUGUAGUGGUCAGCAUGCUCGAUGCAUACCCAAGAGGUCCGUGGUUCGAUUCCCGGCGAAGGCG